rnacentral:rRNA from 1 species
UACGAAGGGAGCUAGCGUUGUUCGGAAUCACUGGGCGUAAAGCGCACGUAGGCGGAUGUGUCAGUCAGGGGUGAAAUCCCGGAGCUCAACUUCGGAACUGCCUUUGAUACAGCACGUCUUGAGUCCGAUAGAGGUGGGUGGAAUUCCUAGUGUAGAGGUGAAAUUCGUAGAUAUUAGGAAGAACACCUGUGGCGAAGGCGGCCGACUGGGCCGACCCUGACGCUGAGGCGCGAAGGCGUGGGGAGCGAACGGG